CUCAGACCGAGUGCUCAAGAACGUGAGAUACUAGCAGUGUGAGAGGAGGAGACCGGUGGACGGGUUAGGAUUGUGUAAAACACAGCAAAGAUGCGUUUCCUGUCUGCUCAUCGGGGCUUGUGGCGACAGGCAGUACUAAUUCAGCUAGCCAUUAGCAGAGUCCCCCAGCACCUUCCUUUCUCCAGCCAUCAGGGCCAAGAGUUCUUUCCAACUUCCUGCUGCAGGAGAAGCCAAGGAAAUCUGCUGCUGCCAGAGAGGUAGGGGCAGCAGUGUGAUACACAGCAUGUGAGUACCCAGGCUUGAAUUCUGACUCCUCACAGGGUUGUCAUUUUGUUUAAUAUUUAUUUUUUACUUUGAAAUAUGUAUGUGUGGAUGGGUAUGUGCACUUGAAUGCAGAAACCUGUGGAGGCUACAGGUACCAAGUAACCCUAGAACUGAAGUUACAGGCAAUUGUGAGCUGCCUAAUAUAGAUCCUAGGAAUCAAAUUCAGGUCCUUUGCAAGAACGGGUAUGAACUCUUGACCACUGAACCAUCUCUCCAGCCCCUAAUAAUACUUUUGUUUUGUCUGUUUAUGCAUUUGUUUAUUCGCUUUGUGGAAUAAUCUUUUUGUACACUGUGAAGAUGUGUCUUUGCCAAGGUGCCUUCUGAUUGGUUUAAUAAAGAGCUGAAUGGCCAAUGGCUAGGCAAGAAGAGGUUAGGCAGGACUUAAAGGCACAGAGAGAGAGUCAUGAGGCAAAACAUAGAUUAAUAUAAAUGUGUAGCACGAUUAAUAAAAACCUAGAGACAGAAAUUAGGACUCAACCUGAAGGUCAGAAAAGCAAAACAGCCACUGGCUCUUACCUCUACCUCAAUCCAAAAUGGUGAUCCUGCCUCCAGGAUCCUCAUUCUGAGGAAUGAGACUGUGUGUGAGAGCUGUCUCCUCCCGUAUUAAUAUUAUUCCUCACUAGGGCUGGGAUUAAAGGUAUGCACCACUAUCGCCCUAUUUCUAUGGCAAACUAGUGUGGCUACUGGGAUUAAAGGUGUGUGUCACCACUGCCUGGUCUGUAACAGUAAACAGCUGACCAGUGCAUCUGUUUUACUCUCUGAACUUCAGGCAAACUUUAGUUAUUAAGAUACAAAUGAAAUAUGACUACAUAAAUGGAUUAAUUUAAGUUACAAGUGCUAGUAGAACUUAGAACUUAAAGCUAUAGGCCAAGCUUUAAUUAAUAAGUCUCCAUGUUGUUUUUUGUGAGCUGGUGGCCCAAAGCAAAAGCCAUCUUUGAUUUGCAGUGCUGAAAAUGGAACGCGGGACUUGCAUGCUAGACAAUCAUUCUACUGCUAACACCAGCCUUAGCACCCUGGCCACAGGAUCCUGCCGCUGAGUCGUAAGUCUGAGACCCUUCACCUACCUUCACCCUCAGAGGUCAGAACAAAACAGCCUGCCUGGCACUGCAGAACACAAAGCAAGGCUCUGUGGGACAAGACCCCCAUCCACGCACACACAGAAUUCCAGACAAAAGGAGGAGACAAUACCACACAUGGGCAUUGUGAGCUCAGAGAGACUUACAGUCCAGGAAAUAUAUCUGCAGUCACCAUUCAGUAUACACGAAUGUACAUCCUGGAAAAAGUCUGUUGUGGAGAGGAAACUCCACAUUCCCUGUGCAGCCAGACUGGGAACAAUGACGGUUUCAGAAGCCUCCCAUAGGACUUGAAGGGAACAGAGGAAGAGACCAUCCCUGGAAGAGAAGGCACCCAGUUGUGUUUUACUCUUUUGACUUUGUGUGGGACCCACUACCCAGCUCCUAAAUAAAUCACAGACAGAGGCUUACUCUUAGUUACGUCUGCCUGGCAUUAGCUUGACUUGUUCCUUGCCAGCGUUACUCAUCUUGUCUACCUUUUCCCUCUGGGCUUUUAUCUUUCUUAUUUCUGUGUGUCUUCCUUUCCUUCUUACUCUGUGGCUGGCCGAGUGACUGGUCCCUGAGGUCUUCCUCUCCUUGUUCUCUCAUUGCUGCUUUUGCUAAGUUCUGUUUCUUCUCUCUGCCUCCCAGCCCCGCCUAUCCUUUCUCCUUCCUCGCUAUUGACCAUUCAGCUCUUUACUAGGUCAUCAGGUGUUUUAGACAAGCAAAGAAUCACAGCUUCACGGAGUUAAACAAAUACAGCAUAAACAAAAGUAACACACUGUAAAAUAAUAUUCCCCUAUGGUACCCUUUAAGGGAUAACCUUCUCCUCUACAGCCACUUCCCUGUGCCCAGGAGGACGAGAGAACUGUAAAGUCUGCAGUGUGAUUACAUGCUUCCUCUGUGCCACCACAUAUCUCGUGUAACAUGCUGUGUGAGUACUUUCAUCUUAUUUUACAGAGGAGCUGAGGCACAGAGCAUGAAGCUGGUUAAAUCCAGUUAAAGCCCUAACAAACUUCAGGUACCCCUUCCCCAGUGCCAGGAAGCCCAGAGGCAAGGCAAGUAGAUUUGGGUGCUAACUCUGAUUUUCACUUGACAGGUUCAUUCCUCUCUUCUAUUUGACUCUUGAAUUUAUUUAUAGCCUAUAUUUAAAGCCUUCUCAAGCCCUGUUGGAAAAGGAAGGGGUACUUCUAUACCUGCCUCCAAGAUUGGCCCCAAUUUCCCUAGAGUAAGAAGACAGGAAACUAGCUCUCUCUAGAAUGAAGUUGUGUCAUGACCUUGGUGUUGCAGUAAACCCUUUACAGUUUUCCUGGAAAAGAGAACCUGUCUUGCAAGGCAAACUCCCUGUUUGGGGCUGGUGCGAUGGCUCACUGGGUAAGAGCGCUUGAAGUGCAAACAUAAGGACCUGAGUUUGAAUCCCCAGCACCCCUGUAAAAAGCCAGGCAUGGCUGCAUGUGUCCAUAACCCUAGUACUGGGAGAGCAGGAGACAGAGACAGGGAUCCCUAGAGCUCUCUGGCCAGUCAAACUAAACAGUAAGCUUCUGACUAAAUGUAGCAAGGUGGAGGGCAAUAGAGAAAGACAGCAAAUAUCCUCCCCUGGCCUUCACACACACACACACACAGAGAGAGAGAGAGAGAGAGAGAGAGAGAGAGAGAGAGAGAGAGAGAGAGAGAGAGAGAGAGAGAGAGAGAGAGAGAGAGAGAAAGAGGAGGGUGGUGGAGAACCACCAAUAAUCUCUUGGGAUGCAGAGACAGGAAAAUCCUGAGUUCUAGACCAGCCUGGGCUACACAGCAAGAUCCUGUUUCUAAAACCAAAUAGAAUCAAGAAAAGUAAUGAUUCGAGGAAGGAGUCCAAUCACUUCCCCAUCUGUUUUGGAUACUGCUGACCUCUCUGUCUCCAGACAGCCUCACAUCUUCCUACUCCCUAGCUCACAGACAGGAUGUCCAUGAUUGUCCACACUAGAUCCCGGGGAACCUAGAACCUGAAGUAGAGAACUUUCACGUACUGAGCCACCCAAACUCUGAUGUGAAAAGCACAGCUGAGGUAGAUCUCAGGCCAGCACAAAGCAUGAACAGCUGGACCUGGUUGUGUCAAGGAAACUAGUGGUCCAUUUUCCUGUCAACACAGGAGUUGGCCUACCCGCUCCAGACCUUGUGCACCUCUUUCCUGACAGCUCAUCAUGGGGUGGCUUCCUUCUGGCUUGUACUCACACAUGUGGGUGUGAUGUGGCGGAGGACCCAGACGGUGGGAAAAGGAACACAGCUCUCUAACAUCCUGCAGUGGUCCAGAUGUCUUGGCUCUCCUUUUGAGCCAGCCUCAGGACCACACAGCAUUCUCAGAUACUUCUUCGGAAGGACUUCAGACGUCAGAAGUCUUCGAGGAGACCCAUACUGGGACUCGCCAUUUUCACCAAUGCUCUGUCUCCUCAGCUCUUCCACCUAGGUAAAGGGAUUGCUGGAACCCGUGUUAUGGCCAUCCUUCUCCUUGUCUCCACACCCCAGGACAUGUGGUUUCAGCCUGAGAAAGCGAGGGGGUGGCAAGACAUGAGUCAUCCACACAGUCAUCCAGGAGCAGAGAGGCAGCUUUGAGCUCAGCAUGGCUUCCCUAGCUCUUCAAUCAGUCACCAGAUAGCCUGCUGUGAUCUCCAUGCCCAAGGUUGACAAGCCUGUGUCCUCACAAAACACAGACUCCUUCCUUGCACUUGAAACACGGACUGUGAGACCAACAGCAGCGCAGAAGUCAACAUUCUACACUUCUUCCCACCCUGCCCCUGCUAGGCCUGCCACUCGUGGGCCUGGCCCACACCACACUCUGGCUGCUAGUAGACCCUGAUUGAUGCUUCACUCAGCAAACAUUUCCAGAACGUGAGAGAUUAUGCCAGGCUACCUAUCACCUAGGUCACCCCACCACCGCAAGGAACCCCUUUUACUAGCAUCCCUUCCAGUCGAAUCGGGAUCAUUUGUUCCUUUGAUCCCUUCACCAAAAGAGGACUCUUUAAGAACAGCUCCACAGGGCUCAAUGGACAGAAAAAUAAUGCCUGUCUUGGGGCUGGGUGAGGGGGAUUUUAUCAUAGCGUUAUUAGUCUCUAAUGCUAGGUGUUUGGGGCCCAAGAGGUGCUCCAGGCUGAAGAAAAUGGUGCACACAUAAUUCCAGCACUCAGGAAGUAAAGUGGAGAGUCAUGAGCUGGAGUCCAGUCUGGGCUCCUUAGCUAGUUAAUACCAUGCUGAGCUACAGAGCAAGACCGUGUAGCAAAAAAAAAAAAAAAAAAAAAAAAACCAAAAAAAACCUAACAACACGGGCUAGGGAGGAUAGUGCACUUACCCAGUGUGGUAGAAAGUCCUUGGUUGGUUAGGUUCUUGACAGAGGGAAAGGGUAAAGGAAAAAGUUAAGAGGGGAGAGAACAAGAAUGAGAAUAGAUUUCAGCUGUCAGGGGAAACUCAGGUUAUGAGCAAAGCUUUACUUCUUCCUUUUCAUUGGAGAAAUCUAUUUCCGGUGAUGGAGGCUAAAGGUCCUGCCCUCUGCCGGGCUCCUCAGAGUGCCAUCAUGGAUCUGCAGCAAGGGAACUCGCCAGGUCCCCACCCUCAGUGUCCAGAACCGGACAUCGUCUGUGCGGAGGGAGCAAUGGUGGUUCACCCUAGGACCUUGUGCGUGUGGACAGCGCACUCCUCCGCUGCGCAGCAGCCCUAGUCCCAGAACACCCGACAAGCUCCUGUGUGAUUCGGAUGCAUGUGGCCGUUUGGGAAACAAUGACAAAAAUAAUGAUUGUUGCCAACAGGCAAGUUUAGAAACAAUGUGUUUACAUGUUCUUUUUCAGUCAGAGGCUGAAAGCCGCCACUUUUUCUCUAUAUUAAGUCUUGUUUUCCUGAGUUUCUACAACUGUACUCCCCCACAGGCUUGGAGGUCAGACCAUCCACAGCGAGAGGCUCUACCACUUCUUUGCCCACCGCGCCUUUGGGCAGGUUGUCUCACCUCUCCCUGUAGCCGCACCUGGCAUCUGGAAAGCACUCAUUUGCAUAACGAUUGGAUUGGAGUGGCCCGGACUGGAGCUUUUGCUGGUUCUUGAGAUGAAGUCUGUGAGUCUGAGGCUGGCUUGAACUCACUCCGUAGCCAAGGAUGAUCUUGAACUCUACAUCCUCUUGCCUCCCCCUUUUCAGGAGCAAGUUUACAGGUGUAAGCCACCCUCCCUAGUUAUGAGGGCUUGGGAACCAAACUCAGAGCUUCGUGGCUGCGAGGCAAGCCCUCUUCUAGUUGAGUUACAGCCCCUAGCUCCAUUUGUUUGUUCUUAAAACAUAGUCUUGUUAGUAGGGUGGCCUUGAACUUGUGACCCUCCUUCCUCUGCCUCCCAAAUAUCAGGAUUUUGUUCGUGUGUUAUCCUGCCCAGUCAUUCAGAUUUUGUGGAGAUCACAUUUACUAUCUUUUGAAAUGAAAUGAUUCUGUAGUUGGUGAGCUCAUUCAUUAUUCUCAGAUUCACUUCAGUUUUAUUUUUCCAAAGUGACUAUUUUUCUUGCAGACAAUUUAACUAUUACCUCAGAAAAUACCCAUUUCAGUCAUGUUUGGUACCACAUCUCUGUAGCCCCAGCAUUCAAGAACCUGAAGUAGGAAGACUACAAAUUUUAAGACAGCUUAUGUAAUAAGGCCCUGUCUCAAAUACAUACAUUUAUGUAUAGUGUGAAUAUGUAUGUAUGCAUAAGUGUAUAUGUGGAGAUAUACACUGUUUCAGGAUUAUCUAUUCUACUAUCCCAUCACCGAAAGAAUUGAGCUUUUUUUUUUUUUCAAAAAAAAAAAGAUUUAUUUAUUAUGUAUACAGUGUUCUGUCUGUGUGUGUGCCUACAGACCAGAAGAGGGCACCAGAUCUCAUUAUAGAUGGUUGUGAGCCACCAUGUGGUUGCUGGGAAUUGAACUCAAGACCUCUGGAAGAAUAGUCAGUGUUAACCUCUGAGCUACCUUUCCAGCCCCGAGAACUGAACUUCUUAACUGUUGUCACCUUGUACAAUUCCUUUGCCUUUUUAAUAACAAUAAUUUGCAAGAGCCUAAGUAUUCUUUCAGAAUUUGCCCUCUGGGUCCCAGAUGCCUUUGGAAGCAUUGUUUCAUUUCCUCUUCACAACUGUGCAAUGUACACAAAGAAAGUGUUAUCUUAUAGAUAAUGAGAGUCCCAGUGCCCACAGUCACAUGGCUAGCAAAUAAGAUAGUGAGACCCAGGAUUCUGGUCCUAUAGGCCCUAGUGGGCACUGGAUGGAUGGCUGGAUAGAUAGAUAGAUAGAUAGAUAGAUAGAUAGAUAGAUAGAUAGAUAGAUAGAUAAUUACCAUGUGUUGCAUGUGUUGAUUCAAAUCAAAGUAUACACCCACAGGGCUGGGGAAAGAAUAUGAGAAUAUGUCAUCUUCCAAGAUGGCCCCAACUGUGAAUACUCCAUUCCAUUGUCCAUAGGAACCCACUUGUGCUUUGACGAUUUAGCUCUCAAAACAUGGUCAUUGUAACUAUUGGGCUAAACAAAGUCUACAGUUCCAGAUACUCAGAGGCUGAGAGUAGAAGAUUGCUAAUUCAAGACUAGUCAGGGCAACAUCAUGAGAGCCUGUCUUAAAUUAAAAAGAAGGUUGAGGGAACUGGAGAGACAGCUCAAGGGUUAGGAGCAUAUAUUGUUCUUAAAGAGGACCUGAGUUCAAUUCCCAGCACCCACACCAGGCAGCUCACAACUAUCUGUAACUCUAACUUCAAAGGAUCUGAUGUCCCCCCACCUGACCUCAUACACAUACUUCACUUAUACAUAAGCAAUAAUGGCUAUUUUUUUUUUUAAGAAGAGGGCUGGGGAUAUGGCUCAAUGGCAGAGCACUUGCCUAGCAUGCACAGAGCCCAAGAUUCCGUCCCCAUUACCACGGGCAGAGGACAAAACCUGUCAGACUAAUUGGUGAAAUUAUUUACUGCAAGAAAAGCAACAAACUCUGUAUUAAAAAUAAUAUAGUCUCAAAAACAGCUCCACAGAGGUUACCCACUUAAAAGGGCACCUCCUGGAAAUCCCAGAUUUCUAUCUAAUGCCCCAAAUAAUCACCAUUAACAGUUACACACACACACACUUUUAUAUUUUCUCUAAUAUAUAUAGUUUUUCUUUUUUAACCAAAUGAAACCAUACCAUGGACUUACGUAACUGUUCUUUGGUCUCUUAUCACUAUCUUGGAUUCUUUUGCAGUCUUCCUGAUUGUUUUCCUGGAUUAUCUGCAUAAUAAUAGUCUACUAUAAAGUGUGUCUGUCUGUCUUUCCUUGUGCAACUAUAUUGGCUGGGUUGUAAGCUGCACGAUGUUUUUUUUUUGUUUGUUUGUUUGUAGCUUUGGAUCCUGUCCUGGAACUAGCUCUUGUAGACUAGACUGGCCUCGAACUCACAGAGAUCUGCCUGCCUCUGCCUCCCGAGUCCUGGGAUUAAAGGUGUGUGCCACCACGGCCCGGCAAUGUUUUCAUUACCUAUAUAAUAAUGUACCAACUCAGACACCCACCCAGCACACAGAAGGAAACACCCAGGCCAAGGCUGAGGGGUGUUUUCCAAUCCCUUCCAGAUCACAGGUGGCUACCCACAUCUCCCUCUCCAGUGUCAGCCUUUCUUUUUAACUCUCAGAUCUUUGAAAUCUUUUGAUUCUUCUCCUCAGCCAAGCAGCAUUUCCUCUGCCUUCCCCUUCCAGCCUGGGACCUGUCAUUUCUGAACAAGAUUGUCUCUCUCCCAUUUCCACCGCCCCUGCUUCUGUAGACCAGGGUUUCUUCCUUCCUCCGUCCACCCUCUUUCCAGUCUGUCUUCUCCCCAGCAGCCUCCCACAGCCCAGCUGAUGAGCACCGUCUUCCCCCAGCCAUGUGGGGUGUAUGUUUGCUUACCCAGUGAGGUCGUCCUCGCCUUCACCUCCUUGCUUGUUGACAUCCCCACCUCCACAGAGCCUGCCGUUGGCAUGGCGGUUGUUAUGGGGUCAUCGUGGGUAACCAAACUCUGAAGAGACACAGUUUUGCUGCCAACAACUGUAAGUCUGUAGUUGGCAACUCAGAAAGGCUGGCUCAAGGAUCUUGCUGCCAAUAAAUAACCGAGGAUUAAGCCAGCUCUUGCCCUCACCUCCCAGUGGGUACCACUUUCAUUUCCUAUCACUCUUGGGCAUCUAGCAUGGACCACUCAGAACACUUCACUGAUGUUUCCAACCCUCGGGACAUGUGGCUGGCAGCUCUAAUUGGGCUCUGGGAUGCGGGGCAGGGGAGGAAUAGGUGCAGAAGGAGAAAGGAGUGCUGUCUGGUGCUUAGGAUCCCAACCUUGAGCUCAGAACACCCUCUCUGCUCUUGGUCCAUCCAUCCAGUGGCCUCACAUCUCCCUCUGCCUGCAGGAAUGAAGACCAGGGCCUCAGGGACUUUCCACCAGCAGGGGCUAGAAGAUCUGACACAAGACCGAGGGACACGGGAACUGCAGAUGGUUGUGAAAUCCAAGAUUAGCAUUUCCAUCCACCCCAGGGUGUGUGUGUGUGGGGGUGUCACUAGCUCCUCUCACCCUUAUUGUCUUCUUUGUCCCCAGCAGGCUCAUGAUCCAGGACAGUUCACCUCUAAACACCUCCAAGUUGCCUGUGCUCUGACUGCAACUCCUCUCUGCUGCAGGUUCCCUGAGACAGUGGUCCCUACCCACUGCCUUCCUGCCUCUCCAGCUGCUGAGAUGAUUCAUGUGACUUUUGACCUCCUGACACUCAGGCCUUUCUCAAGGCUUCCUAGGUACCCUAUCACUGAAAUGCUGAUGGAGCUCCCAGUAUAAGUGUGUGUGUGUGUGUGUGUGUGUGUGUGUGUGUGUGUGCGCGUGCGUGCGCGCGUGUGUGAGAGGCUGGCUCGUCAGCUGAGCCCCAGGGAGGCUCAUAUUAGAAGUGCAUACUGUCAUGCCCCCCCCCUUUUACCACCAGUGCCGGGGAUUGAACUCAGGUCCUCACAUUUGUGAGGUGAAGCAUUUUACCCAUUGAGCUGUCUCUUCCCCCCUCAAGCAAGACUCCUUUUUAACGCGGUCUCUGAUGACUCUGUGUGAUCUCCACCUCUCCAAGUCCUGAGCAGUCUCCUUAGCCAGCCCUCAUCAUCUCUCUCCCCAGGAGUCUCACCUGAUUGGUCUGCGCUGAAAUCACCACCUCCAGGCGCACUUCCACUAGCCCAGUGUCUCCUCCCACCAUCCUCAACACAGGCUGUGUAGCUCUUCCAACAGCUGUAGCGAGGUAACCCCCAGAUGUCUCAAUGCCUCCAAGCAGCAGCCCUCUCGGGAAUAACCAGAGCAGUGUCCCUCAGCUAGGUACUCUGAGGUUUCAAGCCCACUGUUCUUUGAAUCUCCCAACUCCACAUCCCAGGAAUCUACAUCCUGUGGUUUCACCCAGAUGACUGGCUCCUUCUACUCUCACUCCUGCCUCUUCCUCGAUUAUCUGGGUGCUAGGUGGCCCAAUUCUGUAGACAUGCCAUGGGCCAUUAUCAGUCAUCAUCAGUCCACUCUGUCACGUAACCCGUGAUGAAGAGCUCCCAUCCUUAUCCUUACAUUCAUCCCCUGGGAUCCUCCUAUUCAAGUUUAACUUUACUAUUCAAGGUGUCUACUCCGCCAUUGGGUCUGGUUGAUCUGCUCUGUUUUCCCAUGUAUUUAUUUAGCUAUACCAACAGAAUACUGCUGUGGACAUCUUCGCCCUGCAGUCAGAGCACAGAGAACUUAGCAGGGACUGGCAAAUUCAAGCUCAGGGCAAGACAAAAAGACCAGCAAGUGAGAUACCAAGGAAGGUCCGUAUUAGAAGGUUGAAGGCCCCAGGGUGACCACACCCAACCCUUUUUCACUUAGACUGGACUAUGAAUCACCAGUUUUACUUCCUCAGUGAGGUGCCGUGCCUGCAGCCAUUCCAGAAAUCCUUCUCUAUGGUUGAGUCCCCUAAGGCAUCGGUCAGCCCCUCAGUGUCUGGCCGGGUGCAGUGACCUGCUUUCCUCCUCACGGAGUGGAAGAAGCAGCAGCCCUCAGCCAGCCCAGAGGUGUCAGCUUCUCUUCUCGCCCAGCCAGCUGCGCUGCACCUCGAGUCAGGUGCUGCCCAGGGCUCCGACUUCCUGGGAGGGAGAAGCAGAGCUGACAUUCUCACUAGAGAAAGGGUGGGCCUGCCCCUCCUCUGCUCAUGACCCGCUCAAAGGCAGCCAGCCGGAGUUUGCCAGGGAGCUCCUGCUGGCGACAUUUUGAUCAUCCUAAGCCUUUGCUAAGUGCCAUCAACACGCUGACUUAAGUGGUAAAGGAUGCCGGGCUGAUGUGGGCUGUGGGGGUGGAGGAGAAGACGAACAGGAGGAGGAAGCAGAUGGAGAGAGGCGCGAGAAGAAAAGAACACAUGGAACCAGGCUCCUUGACUAGACUCUGGUUUCUCCUGCCCUACCCGCACCGUCCUGUGUGGCCAGCCGCUCAUCUGUUGACACCUUAGUUGUUUCCCAGCCUCUGCACCCCACCGGAAUCAGCCUGCACAGUCUUCCAAGCCACUGUUUUCUAUCAUUGCCUAGGGGACACAAGCCAGUGGCUUUGUCUAGCCAGGGCUUUCCAUGACUGGGCCUCCUAUCCGUUGGCUUUAUUUUCCAUUGCUUCACAGGGGAAAAUGUCGACUGUGCCCAGCCUGGCUUGUCAUUGCCACCACUCCCUCCUGUGCACUGAAGCAGCCGUGCAUGGUUACUUAGCAAAAGGCAACCUUAGCAUUGUUUCAUCUUGGUGGUUUCUCCCAUAAUCAUUCACUGAGUACUGCCAUUCAUAAAACUGGAAAAAGGUUAACUUUCUCAGAAAUCUUACUGCUUCUCAGCCUUCCCCCUGGUUCCUUCCCUCUAGUAAUCUCAAACAAUGGUGAAGCUACCUGAAUUCUGCAGGUACGAACCCAAGGCUCAGAAGAGACCGGCUGCUCCCAAGCUGGAAGAAUCCUGGGCCAGAGAGUUGCAGGCUCAGCUCAGGACCUUUUCAGUCCACAGGUCAAGGUCAUCCCACUUUACCUGACUAAAGUGAAAACCAUAUGCGCUUGAGAGCGUGGGCCAUCCUCACUUUCUGUGUUUGGCAAAUAGUGAACACAUUAGUGUCUUCGUCUAUGCAAGCCGCUGAAACAGGAUUCCACAGACCUGUGGUCUGUAAGCAACAGAAAUGUAUUGCUCACAGGAAGCUGGGAAGUUCAAGAGCAGGAUGCCCACAAAUUGGUGUCUAGCGAAGGGCCAUCCUCUCUCUGGUCUACUUUGUUCACAUGAUAGAGCCCGAGGGAUCUCUUUGGGAGUCUCUUCUAAGAGUACUGAUCCUAUGCACGAAGGUUCCACCCAAUGGUCUAAUCACCACCCUAAAGUCCUGCUUCUUGAUGACACCACGUUUGGACUCAGGCUCAACACAUGACUUCUGAGGAGCAUAGUCUAUUGCAGAUGGGUUAUGACUACUCUCUCAAAAAAAAAAAAAAGAAAAGAAAAGAAAAGCAGCACUAGGUAAGUAGUUAAGCUGCUGUUUUCGGGGUUUUUUUUAGAUUUAUUUAUUAUGCAUACAAUGUUCUGUUAACAUAUAUACACCAGGAGGCACCAGAUCUCAUUAUAGAUGGUUGUGAGCCACUGUGUGGUUGCUGGGAAUUGAACUCAGGACCUCUGGAAAAGCAGCUAAUGCUCUUAACCUCUGAGCCAUCUCUCCAGCCCCUCGUUGUUGUUUUUUUUAGUGUUUUCUUUAUUAUUUAUUAUGUGUACAGUGUUCUGCCUGCAUGUACACAUGCAGCCCAGAAGAGGGCACCAGAUCUCAUUACAGAUUGUUGUGAGCCACCAUGUGGUUGCUGGGAAUUAAACUCAGGACCUUUGGAAGAGCAGUCAGUGAUCUUAACCUCUGAGCCAUCUCUCCAGCCCCUGUUUUAGUUUUAAUUUACAGGAUUGUGUGUGUGUGUGUGCAUGUGCGUGUGUGUAUGUGUGUGUGCAUGUGCGCGUGUGUAUGUGUGUUGCCUGUUAUUGAACCCGUGUCUUCACACCAGUGGGAUAGGCAAGCACCCUGAACAACAACAUCCUCACCUACCCCUCAGGUUCAGCGUAGAGAUGAGACGACCAGAGUUGAGGAUGUAGUUCAGUUGGUAGAGUGCUGGCUCAGCUUGUGCAAAGCCUCAGAUUCAAUCUCAGUCUCCAUACCAAAUAAACUGGGCUGAGUGGGAUGGGCCUCUAGCAUUCUGUAAUCCUCUAGUAAUCCUAGCAUUCUGGACAUGGAGGCAGGAGGUCAUCCUCCACGGGCGUAGUUCAAGACCAGCCAGGGUUAUAUAAGACCCUGUCUCAGAAAAAUAAAAUUACUUUCCUCCCCCUUAAUCUGAGAUUUUUAAAAAAACUAUGUACAAGUGUUUUAGCCUGUAUGUAUGUCUGUGUACCCAGUGUGCUAUGUCUGAGGAGGUCAGAAAAGGGUGUCAGCUCUGGAACUGGAGUUCCGAGAACUGUUAGCCACCAGGUGGGUGCUGGGAAUGGAAUACAAGGCCUCUGGAAGAGCAAUCCUCGUGCUCGUAACUGCUAAGUUAUCUUUCCAGCCCAAUGUUGUCCCUUUGACAACAGCACAAUGCUGUCCUAGAAAGUAUUUGAUAAGGUUGAAAACAGAGAGCAGGGUAUGUGAGACUCUGCAGUUCCUAGCUGGAGCCUUCUCAUCAGCCAUCGAAAGGCUGCAGUGUAGCCCACUUUUAUAGCAGAUACUAUAAAAGUAUCUGCUACUUUUUUCUCGUGAAGGAUGUGUGAUUACUGUUAUCAGCAGACAGAAUCAUGACAACAUUUUGUAAUGUAAUUUCAUGAUUUAUAUAUUAUGUUUUAUGAUGCUAUUUUGACAGUUACUAAAAGGCUUUAUAGCUGGAAAGUCGCUCUAUUGGGAUGGGAGGUGGAAACAUCUCCCCCACCCUUGCAUUCCUCUCUCAUCUUAUUCACGGUGAGGCUGUGCUAGACAGGGGUGGUGUUAACUCAAAGGGGCUGCCUAUUACCUGCCAUUAUUACCUUUGAAUGUCCAAUCACCUCCUGCAUCCCAGAGUCCCAUUGUUUAUGCCCCGUCUUUGAAGUCUAGAUUUAUUUUCUUAAUUUCUAAACUUUUUGGUUUGUUUUUUUUUAAUAUACUUCUUUUUUAAAAAUAUUUAUUUAUUUAUUAUGUAUACAAUAUUCUGCCUACACAUAUGCCUGCAGGCCAGAAGAGGGCACCAGACCUCAUUACAGAUGGUUGUGAGCCACCAUGUAGUUGCUGGGAAUUGAACUCCAGACCUUUGGAAGAGCAGGCAAUGCUCUUAACCGCUGAGCCAUCUCUCCAGCCCUGGUUUAGUUUGUUGAGACAGGGUUUCUCAGCUCUGGCUGUCCUGGAACUCACUUUGGAGACCAGUCUGGCCUCGAACUCACAGAGAUCCUCCUGCCUCUGCCUCUGAGCUUCCCCAGCUUAAUUUCUAAACUAUUAAGUAUAAACAUAGCAUUGCAGGGAUAACUGUGUUCUGUAAACUCCCUGUUAACACUGGUCCCUCCUCCUCAGCCCAGGGCAGCUCCUGCCACCCUGAGACAGAGUGCCUUGCGUUGCCCUGCUCUUGCCUACCGGGUCCCUCUAGGAAGGCAACAGUGGAAAAAUAGGAAUCUGUAAACCCCAUGGGCACCACAGUUCAGCUCCUCUCGCUCAGUCACAGAUUCCUGAUCGCUGGGUUUCCCUGGCCAGGUGGCAUCCGGAUUGUCAGGGGAGCAAAUGGUCACCUACAUAAGAAGGAGUGACAGUACCACAUGAGAUGAGCCAUCUUAAGGUGAGCCUGCGGCAGCAGGUAGACUCUGAAAUGGGAUGAGUUGUUAAAGGUAUAAAGGAAAAAAUAAUGAAGUACCAAAGAGGAAAAAUACAAAAAGCAGGACUAGGGCCUAGUUCUUAUCCAGACCAUGGAAGCCAUCGCCACUGUCAGUAAACCCCCAAAGAGGGCUCCUUCCUUGUAAUGAGGCCAAGUUCACAGUCUGCAAAGCAGAACUGGCCAGAGCCCCCACUUGUAUAUAGCUUAACUCUAAUCUGAUCAGGUUGGGGUGCGAAGCUCUUCUCAGUUUAGCAAUGGCAGAGUAUUCCUGUGCUUUAAGAUGGAGAGUUCUACCUCCAAGUCCCAACAAGCGCUUUGUGGUUUUGAUGCUAGGAUCUCAUGUUUGCUGGACAAGUGCUGUUGAGCUACAUCCCCAAACCCACACAGGCAGCCUGGUAAGAAAUGAAAUAAAGAAAAUACCAGAGUGCAUUCAAUAGUGAAAAGAGCUCUCGGAAUUCAUAGAAUCCUAUUGGCACUGAAGUAUUUAUGGGUAGUAAAAGGAAUCGUUGGUCCCCUGCUGUGUGAUCUCAUGAUGUUAAAUGUUUGUCCCUGAGCUCACUGAUUCCUGGAACCUGGGGGACACUGAACUCAUCCUCUGUGCCUGCCCCAGAGAGGAGUAUGUAAUGGGGUCUCAGGACUGAGCUCUCGCAUCAGUCGGACAGAAAAUCUGGCUUCAGUUGUGGGGACCUUUAGAAGGCUUGAAACAACCAUGAUGCAUCUCUGCCCUUGUCAAAGUAGUCACAG